ensembl:lncRNA
GGACUUGAGAGGCAGUAUUAAUCACAUGAGGCUCUGCUGGAAUCCAAGGUGAUUAUUUGUAUAGCAGAGGAGCUCAAGAUUUGCUGACUGUGAAAAGAAGACUAUUUUAAGACAUGGCAAGUCCUGAAAACCAGAGAAACAAUGAGCUAACAUUUAUUCUAAAGGUGAACAUUAAAUUCAGAUCAAGCUAUUGCUUCUCUUCAAUUUGCAUGAUCACUUUGGAGAGCACUCUUGGAGAUCAUAAAAGGUUCUGGACACAAUGCCACCAUCUGCCCUGGACUGUAGCAUGGUAGAUGAGAGAGAGAGGAAAGUGGACGGAUGACACUGUUAAUAGAUGAUGCUUUAGUUAAAAUAAACUUGAGAGAAAGAAC